GACGAACGCUGGCGGCGUGCUUAACACAUGCAAGUCGAACGAUGAACCCGGAGCUUGCUCCGGUGGAUUAGUGGCGAACGGGUGAGUAACACGUGAGUAACCUGCCCUUGACUCUGGGAUAACUGAGGGAAACUGUAGCUAAUACCGGAUACGACCCUCGGCGGCAUCGCCAGGGGGUGGAAAGAAUUUCGGUCAAGGAUGGACUCGCGGCCUAUCAGUUAGUUGGUGAGGUAACGGCUCACCAAGGCGACGACGGGUAGCCGGCCUAGAAGGGUGACAGGCCACACUGGGACUGGGACAGAGCCCGUACUCCGACGGGAGGCAGCAGUGGGGAAUAUUGCACAAUGGGCGCAAGCCUGAUGCAGCAACGCAGCGCGAGGGAUGACGGCCUUCGGGUUGUAAACCUCUUUUAGUAGGGAAGAAGCGAAAGUAACGGUACCUGCAGAAAAAGCACCGGCUAACUACGUGCCAGCCGCCGCGGUAA
rnacentral:rRNA from 1 species